rnacentral:pre_miRNA from 1 species
AUAGCCCCUAGAGUUCCCUCAAACACUUCAUUGGAGAUUAUUAUGGGCAUUAUCUUAAUUAUGCCUCUCUCUCUCUACUUUCUACUGAAGUGUUUGGGGGGACCCUUGGAGUCAU